UCCCUUGUGGCUCAGCUGGUAAAGAAUCUGCCUGCAAUGCAGGAGAUCUGGGUUCGAUCCCUGGGUUGGGAA
rnacentral:tRNA from 1 species